UACAGAGGUCCCAAGCGUUGUUCGGAUUCACUGGGCGUAAAGGGUGCGUAGGUGGUGAGGUAAGUCGGAUGUGAAAUCCCCGAGCUCAACUUGGGAACUGCGUUUGAAACUACAAGACUAGAAUAUGUCAGAGGGGGGUAGAAUUCCACGUGUAGCAGUGAAAUGCGUAGAGAUGUGGAGGAAUACCGAUGGCGAAGGCAGCCCCCUGGGUCGAUACUGACGCUCAUGCACGAAAGCGUGGGGAGCAAACAGG
rnacentral:rRNA from 1 species